rnacentral:rRNA from 1 species
UUAAAUUGAAGAGUUUGAUCAUGGCUCAGAUUGAACGCUGGCGGCAGGCCUAACACAUGCAAGUCGAACGGUAACAGGAAGCAGCCUGCUGCUU